UACAGAGGAUGCAAGCGUUAUCCGGAAUGAUUGGGCGUAAAGCGUCUGUAGGUGGCUUUUUAAGUCCGCCGUCAAAAUCCCAGGGCUCAACUCUGGACAGGCGGUGGAAACUACCAAGCUGGAGUACGGUAGGGGCAGAGGGAAUUUCCGGUGUGAGCGGUGAAAUGCGUAGAUAUCGGAAGGAACACCAGUGGCGAAAGCGGCUUCCUAGUCCAGCACCGGACGUCAGGCACGAAAGCGUGGGGAGCAAACAGG
rnacentral:rRNA from 1 species